GACGAACGCUGGCGGCGUGCUUAACACAUGCAAGUCGAGCGAUGAAACACCUUCGGGUGCGGAUUAGCGGCGAACGGGUGAGGAACACGUGAGGAAUCUGCCUUCCACUCUGGAUAACUCCGGGAAACCGGGGCUAAUACCGGAUACUUUCAACUGGCGGCAUCGCCGGUUGAAGAAAGUUUUUCGGUGGAAGAUGACCUCGCGGCCUAUCAGCUUGUUGGUGAGGUAAAGGCUCACCAAGGCGACGACGGGUAGCCGGCCUGAGAGGGCGACCGGCCACACUGGGACUGAGACACGGCCCAGACUCCUACGGGAGGCAGCAGUGGGGAAUAUUGGGCAAUGGAGGAAACUCUGACCCAGCGACGUCGCGUGAGGGAUGAAGGCCUUCGGGUUGUAAACCUCUUUCAGCAGGGAAUAAGCGAAAGUGAAGGUACCUGCAGAAGAAGCACCGGCUAACUAUGUGCCAGCAGCAGCCGCCG
rnacentral:rRNA from 1 species